UACGUAGGGUGCAAGCGUUGUCCGGAAUUAUUGGGCGUAAAGAGCUCGUAGGCGGUUCGUCACGUCGGCUGUGAAAUCCCGAGGCUCAACCUCGGGUCUGCAGUCGAUACGGGCGGACUGGAGUACUGCAGGGGAGACUGGAAUUCCUGGUGUAGCGGUGAAAUGCGCAGAUAUCAGGAGGAACACCGGUGGCGAAGGCGGGUCUCUGGGCAGUAACUGACGCUGAGGAGCGAAAGCGUGGGGGAGCGAACAGG
rnacentral:rRNA from 1 species